AUACGUAUGUCGCAAGCGUUAUCCGGAUUUAUUGGGCGUAAAGCGCGUGUAGGCGGUCUUGCAAGUCAGAAGUGAAAUUCCUGAGCUCAACUCGGGCGCUGCUUCUGAAACUGCAGGACUUGAGUGCUGGAGGGGAUAGCGGAAUUCCUAGUGGAGCGGUAAAAUGCGCAGAUAUUAGGAAGAACACCGGUGGCGAAGGCGGCUAUCUGGACAGUAACUGACGCUGAGGCGCGAAAGCGUGGGGAGCAAACAGGAUUAGAUCCCCUGGUAGUCCACGCCGUAAACGAUGAAUACUAGGUGUAGGGGGUAUCGACUCCCUCUGUGCCGCAGUUAACACAAUAAGUAUUCCGCCUGGGGAGUACAGCCGCAAGGUUGAAACUCAAAUGAAUUGACGGGG
rnacentral:rRNA from 1 species